CAAAGGAAUUGACGGGGCCCGCACAAGCGGUGGAGCAUGUGGUUUAAUUCGACGCAACGCGAAGAACCUUACCAGGGCUUGACAUCCCCUGACCGCGUAUGAAAGUACGAAUUCACCUUCGGGUGACAGGGAGACAGGUGGUGCAUGGUUGUCGUCAGCUCGUGUCGUGAGAUGUUGGGUUAAGUCCCGCAACGAGCGCAACCCCUACGUUUAGUUGCUAACGCGUGAAGGCGAGCACUCUAGACGAACUGCCGUUGACAAAACGGAGGAAGGUGGGAUGACGUCAAAUCAUCAUGCCCCUUAUGUUCUGGGCUACACACGUGCUACAAUGGCCGGUACAGACGGACGCAAAGCCGCGAGGUGGAGCAAAUCCUAAAAAGCCGGUCUCAGUUCGGAUUGCAGGCUGCAAUUCGCCUGCAUGAAGUCGGAAUCGCUAGUAAUCGCAGGUCAGCAUACUGCGGUCGAAUACGUUCCCGGGCCUU
rnacentral:rRNA from 1 species